rnacentral:rRNA from 1 species
GACGAACGCUGGCGGCGUGCUUAACACAUGCAAGUCGAGCGGUAAGGCCUCUUCGGGGGUACACGAGCGGCGAACGGGUGAGUAACACGUGGGUGACCUGCUCUCAGCUCUGGGAUAAGCCUGGGAAACUGGGUCUAAUACCGGAUAUGACCUUUCCUCGCAUGGGGUUUGGUGGAAAGUUUUUUCGGCUGGGGAUGGGCCCGCGGCCUAUCAGCUUGUCGGUGGGGUGAUGGCCUACCAAGGCGACGACGGGUAGCCGGCCUGAGAGGGCGACCGGCCACACUGGGACUGAGACACGGCCCAGACCCCUACGGGAGACAGCAGUGGGGAAUAUUGCGCAAUGGGCGGAAGCCUGACGCAGCGACGCCGCGUGGGGGAUGACGGCCUUCGGGUUGUAAACCUCUUUCGACCCCGACGAAUUUGGACGGUAGGGGUAGAAGAAGCACCGGCCAACUACGUG